GUGUCAGCAGCCGCGGUAAUACGUAGGUGGCAAGCGUUGUCCGGAAUUAUUGGGCGUAAAGGGCGCGUAGGCGGUACCUUAAGUCAGAUGUGAAAACCCGGGGCUCAACUCCGGAGGUGCAUUUGAAACUGGGGUACUUGAGUGCAGGAGAGGAAAGCGGAAUUCCUAGUGUAGCGGUGAAAUGCGUAGAUAUUAGGAGGAACACCAGUGGCGAAGGCGGCUUUCUGGACUGUAACUGACGCUGAGGCGCGAAAGCGUGGGGAGCAAACAGGAUUAGAUACCCUGGUAGUCCACGCUGUAAACGAUGGAUACUAGGUGUGGGAGGUAUCGACCCCUUCCGUGCCGCAGUAAACGCAAUAAGUAUCCCGCCUGGGGAGUACGGCCGCAAGGUUGAA
rnacentral:rRNA from 1 species